CUUGCCUCUUGGACUGGGACAACUGUUGGAAACGACAGCUAAUACCGGAUAUUAUGAGAUUCUCGCAUGAGAAACUUAUGAAAGCUAUAUGCGCCAAGAGAGAGCCUUGCGUUCCACUAGCUAGUUGGUGGGGUAAUGGCCCACCAAGGCGACGAUGGAUAGCCGGCCUGAGAGGGUGAACGGCCACAAGGGGACUGAGACACGGCCCUUACUCCUACGGGAGGCAGCAGUGGGGAAUAUUGGACAAUGGGCCACAAGCCUGAUCCAGCAAUUCUGUGUGCACGAUGAAGGUCUUCGGAUUGUAAAGUGCUUUCAGUUGGGAAGAAGAAAGUGACGGUACCAACAGAAGAAGCGACGGCUAAAUACGUGCCAGCAGCCGCGGUAAUACGUAUGUCGCAAGCGUUAUCCGGAUUUAUUGGGCGUAAAGCGCGUCUAGGCGGAAAAAUAAGUCUGAUGUUAAAAUGCGGGGCUCAACUCCGUAUUGCGUUGGAAACUGUUUUUCUAGAGUACUGGAGAGGUGGGCGGAACUACAAGUGUAGAGGUGAAAUUCGUAGAUAUUUGUAGGAAUGCCGAUGGAGAAGUCAGCUCACUGGACAGAUACUGACGCUGA
rnacentral:rRNA from 1 species